CCUACGGGGGGCAGCAGUGGGGCAUAUUGCACAAUGGGGGAAACCCUGAUGCAGCGACGCCGCGUGAGUGAAGAAGUAAUUCGUUAUGUAAAGCUCUAUCAGCAGGGAAGCAAAUGACGGUACCUGAGUAAGAAGCCCCGGCUAACUACGUGCCAGCAGCCGCGGGAAUACGUAGGGGGCAAGCGUUAUCCGGAUUUACUGGGGGUAAAGGGAGCGUAGUCGGCUGUGCAAGUCCGGAGUGAAAGGCGGGGGCUAAACCCCCGGACUGCUCUGGAAACUGGACGGCUGGAGUGCAGGAGAGGUAAGUGGAAUGCGUGGUGUAGCGGUGAAAUGCGUAGAUAUGAGGAAGAACACCAGUGGCGAAGGCGGCUUACUGGACUGUAACUGACGUUGAGGCUCGAAAGCGUGGGGAGCAAACAGGAUUAGAUACCCGGGUAGUC
rnacentral:rRNA from 1 species